rnacentral:rRNA from 1 species
GAUGAACGCUAGCUACAGGCUUAACACAUGCAAGUCGAGGGGAAACGCCAUCGAAAGCUUGCUUUUGAUGGGCGUCGACCGGCGCACGGGUGAGUAACGCGUAUCCAACCUGCCCAUCACUUGGGAAUAACCUUGCGAAAGUAAGACUAAUACCCAAUGAUAUCCCACGAAGGCAUCGGAAUGGGAUUAAAGAUUUAUCGGUGAUGGAUGGGGAUGCGUCUGAUUAGCUUGUUGGCGGGGUAACGGCCCACCAAGGCAACGAUCAGUAGGGGUUCUGAGAGGAAGGUCCCCCACAUUGGAACUGAGGCACGGUCCAAACUCCUACGGGAGGCAGCAGUGAGGAAUAUUGGUCAAUGGGCGAGAGCCUGAACCAGCCAAGUAGCGUGCAGGAAGACGGCCCUAUGGGUUGUAAACUGCUUUUAUAAGGGAAUAAAGUGGGUCACGUGUGACUUUUUGCAUGUACCUUAUGAAUAAGGACCGGCUAAUUCCGUG